UAAUGUAUUCCAGAUGUAAGGCUGAAAGGUAAAAUUAUGCCGUUGCUUGAGAGUCUUAAACAUGCCAUAUACACUGUCAUACCUCUGCUUCUCAUUUCUUCAUGGCCUGCACCAAUUUCUGUAGAUGAUGAAACUUCAAGACCCUUUGGAAUGGAAGCAGGCCAGAAGAGGUGGAAGGUACAACAUUUUCUGAUUUAAGGCCUGCCAUGAAAUGGCUGAGAAGUCUUAUACUAAGGAAUAGAGGGAAUUUCUGUCUCUGGAACUCACUGUGUGUUAGUUCUUUCUCCCCUACAGGUACUGAAAUGAACUCAAUUCACCACUGAAGGUUUCCUGUGGGCCUACAAAGGUCAGUAAGAUUGGGCCAACCUCCCAGAAUCAUAAGCAGAAUUUGGAAAAGUUCAGUUUUUCUUCAGAUGAUUCACAAACUGAGUUACAAAAUUUAUUUUUAGGGAGAGGACUGUGAAGUAGAGAGACUCAGGGCCAUUAAUUAAUUAAUCUUAUUAAUUAAUUAAUUAAUCUGCCAUUUUUAGAGAACCUGAAUAAUUUUAAUAGUAAAAAAAAUGUAGUUAUUUUAUAUUUUGAUUUUAACAUACAGAAACCCCCAGAUUCAAGACCCACUGUAGAAGCAAUUGCUAUCUUCAAGUGGAAAUGAACAAAUGAUAAACGAAGACAGACAUUAAAAACAUACUUGGAAGUAAUAUAUAUGCUACUGUGUUAGUUAUGCUGGAAAUGAGAACAAAGGGCAAGUUAAAUAGUACUUCAGGCAAAGGAAUCCCAGUGGCAUGAUGCCUUACUAUUUUGUACUAUAGGAACCCUAUAGCCAAGAACGCAAAACAUUGUGUCUAAGAACAAGUUGGUCAAGAAAUAUUCUGUAGAAAUGUUCAGGAGACCUCCUUCAAGCCAAGGCUGUUUGGCAGUCCCCUCUAUUAUACAGAAAGUGAGAUGACAACUCAAAGCCUGCUUACUGCCAGUUCUUCAGCAUCCAUAGGCCAUGUGACACAGUUUAAUCAUCUCCAUCUUAGUCAAUCACCACCAUCCACCUUUGCCCAGCCAUUUUCCCACUGAAAGCAUUAAACAGGCC
rnacentral:lncRNA from 12 species